rnacentral:lncRNA from 1 species
CCAAGAAGUUUAAUACCUACUAAAGAUACAACAGAAAAAGGAAAUAAUAAUAGAAGUUAGAAAAAUAAAAAUAGAAUUUGAAAUAAAGGAAGAUAUGCAAAAAAACAGACACAAUAUUAGGAAUAAAUGAUUAGAACAAGUAAAACCCUACAAUAUAAAACACACACAAAUAACCAUAACCUAUAAUAGAGAAAAAAUAUUGAUAAAAAAAGCUUUGACAUGAUAUGAAAAUAUAUGUACUUAUGAAAAUAAUAGUAGAAGGA